UAUACGAUGUUGUUUGAUGCAUAUCGUACGGUAACAUUCCUAGCUUGCUAGAAGAUGACGAGUGGCGGACGGGUGAGUAAUGCUUGGGAACUUGCCUUUGCGAGGGGGAUAACAGUUGGAAACGACUGCUAAUACCGCAUAAUGUCUUCGGACCAAACGGGGCUUAGGCUCCGGCGCAAAGAGAGGCCCAAGUGAGAUUAGCUAGUUGGUAAGGUAACGGCUUACCAAGGCGACGAUCUCUAGCUGUUCUGAGAGGAAGAUCAGCCACACUGGGACUGAGACACGGCCCAGACUCCUACGGGAGGCAGCAGUGGGGAAUAUUGCACAAUGGGGGAAACCCUGAUGCAGCCAUGCCGCGUGUGUGAAGAAGGCCUUCGGGUUGUAAAGCACUUUCAGUUGUGAGGAAAAGUUAGUAGUUAAUACCUGCUAGCCGUGACGUUAACAACAGAAGAAGCACCGGCUAACUCCGUGCCAGCAGCCGCGGUAAUACGGAGGGUGCGAGCGUUAAUCGGAAUUACUGGGCGUAAAGCGCACGCAGGCGGUUUGUUAAGCUAGAUGUGAAAGCCCCGGGCUCAACCUGGGAUGGUCAUUUAGAACUGGCAGACUAGAGUCUUGGAGAGGGGAGUGGAAUUCCAGGUGUAGCGGUGAAAUGCGUAGAUAUCUGGAGGAACA
rnacentral:rRNA from 1 species